rnacentral:rRNA from 1 species
UGGGGAAUAUUGCACAAUGGGGGAAACCCUGAUGCAGCGACGCCGCGUGAGCGAAGAAGGCUUUCGAGUCGUAAAGCUCUGUCCUAUGAGAAGAUAAUGACGGUAUCAUAGGAGGAAGCCCCGGCUAACUACGUGCCAGCAGCCGCGGUAAUACGUAGGGGGCUAGCGUUGUCCGGAAUCACUGGGCGUAAAGGGUUCGCAGGCGGAAAUGCAAGUCAGGUGUAAAAGGCAGUAGCUUAACUACUGUAAGCAUUUGAAACUGCAUAUCUUGAGAAGAGUAGAGGUAAGUGGAAUUUUUAGUGUAGCGGUAAAAUGCGUAGAUAUUAAAAAGAAUACCGGUGGCGAAGGCGACUUACUGGGCUCAUUCUGACGCUGAGGAACGAAAGCGUGGGUAGCAAACAGG